GUUACCUUCUAAAGAGGGGAGGGUCCUAGCUGACAGCGGUCCAGCUGCUCCCACAGCUUGAGAGACUGCCUUGCUGCAGGGACACAUCAGGCCACAAAGCAGGUAAGAUUCAAGAAGGAAGAAGGGAAGGGCAUGAUGGGAAUGAGAAGACGUGUUUUCUUCUGGAAGGACCUCGGGGAGGCCAUGUGGAUGGAAACGUGCUGUCAAGAGGUGGUCAAGCACAGGGUCUGGAGGGAGACUACCCACAUCUGAUGGCCCACCAGUGCCUAUCUUUGAGAUUCUGGUUCACCAAUUCACUCCCUGGGCCCGUGCACGUAUGUGUGCAUGUAUAUGUACAUGAUGAUGCACACACAAUCCCCAACCAUGAAAGAGGAGCAGUGAUAGUGCUCAUCUCCUGGUGUUACAGUGAAGAGUCAGUGAGACAGUGCAUGGCUAGUACGGCAGGCUUCCUGACACAUAACUCACACUGAUUAAAAUGACAGCUGUCUUGGGCACCUGUGUGGCUCAGGUGGUUAAGUGGCUGCCUUUGGCUCAGGUCGUGGUCCCGGGAUCGAGCCCCUCGACUCCCUGCUCAGCAAGAGUCUGCUUCUCCCUCUCCCUCUGCCUGCUGCUCCCCCCACAUGUGCUCUCUCUCUCUCUCUCUCUCUCUCUCUAUGUGUGCCAAAUAAACAAAUAAAAUCUAAAAAAAAAAAAUAAAAA
rnacentral:lncRNA from 1 species